AGAAAAAUGUGAAAUGAUGAAAGAACUGUUCAGUGUAUUGGUAAAAAACCCAAACAGUUUCCUUUCAAAGCUAAUUUUAAAAAGAUGUUUGUUAAACAAUAUCCCCCCCCCCCCUGCAAGCUAUGUUGUCAGGAUUAUAUGGACAAUUGAUUUGCAGGGGCUUAGCCAGUCUGUACUGAAUGUUACGCACAAAUGUGGGAGGGGGAUAUCCCUGUAACCGUAGGGGGUUCAGGGCGGGCUACUCCCAAAGGGAAAAUGGAACUACCAAGUGAUUUUUUAGGCUCUUUAAGCUUCUUUAAGCUAUCUAGCACAGAUAAACAAUGCUUUCUAUAGCAGCUGAUCAUCCCUUUAAAGCUUUAUUCUGAUGUCAAUACAUAACUUAGCCCUCGACUUUGAUCCCAUGUUUGGCCAUUUUUCUAAUUGAUGUUACAGACGUGCGUUGGUGCGUAAUGCUGGCUACGCCCCUGAUUUGUCCAGCAUGAAUAUGACCAAUCAAAGUGUGAUGACCUUAUGUCCAGGUGUUGUGAAACUCAGACAAGCUAUGUUCUACUGACGGACCUAAUGACAGACCCAUCGACUGACAUCUGCAAAGCAAUAUACCCCUCUUCUUCAAAGGGGGGCAUAAAAAUUCAGAUUUAUGUAUGAGUAAUGCUCUGAUUUUACAGAGCCAGGCCAAAUGUGGAUUACCUGUCUUCACUGAAUCCUAUCCUGGUACAGUCUGAGCAUAGAAAUUUGCAGAUACCAACUUAUUGAGAACCAAGAUAUCUGGGAGUUUUCAACAGACAAGAGGACCUGGAUAUUCUGCUACAUGUGACACUGACACAAACUAUGUUGUACUUUUAUAUCAAUAUGACAUUAUAAAAAUGUUUGGACUCAUAUGCCAUUGCUUGAAUCAAAAUUAAAUUUAUAAUAAAUUUAUAUAACUCUGA